rnacentral:rRNA from 1 species
UACGAAGGGGGCUAGCGUUGUUCGGAAUCACUGGGCGUAAAGCGCACGUAGGCGGAUCUUUAAGUCAGGGGUGAAAUCCCAAGGCUCAACCUUGGAACUGCCUUUGAUACUGGGGAUCUCGAGUCCGGGAGAGGUGAGUGGAACUGCGAGUGUAGAGGUGAAAUUCGUAGAUAUUCGCAAGAACACCAGUGGCGAAGGCGGCUCACUGGCCCGGUACUGACGCUGAGGAGCGAAAGCGUGGGGAGCAAACAGG